rnacentral:rRNA from 1 species
AGGAUGGCCUCGCGUCUGAUUAGAUAGUUGGUGGGGUAACGGCCUACCAAGUCGACGAUCAGUAGCCGGACUGAGAGGUUGAACGGCCACAUUGGGACUGAGACACGGCCCAGACUCCUACGGGAGGCAGCAGUGGGGAAUAUUGCACAAUGGGCGCAAGCCUGAUGCAGCAACGCCGCGUGAAGGAAGACGGUUUUCGGAUUGUAAACUUCUGUUCUUAGCGAAGAACAAUGACGGUAGCUAAGGAGCAAGCCACGGCUAACUACGUGCCAGCAGCCGCGGUAAUACGUAGGUGGCAAGCGUUGUCCGGAAUUACUGGGUGUAAAGGGAGCGCAGGCGGGAAAGCAAGUCAGCUGUGAAAUCCAUGGGCUUAACCCAUGAACUGCAGUUGAAACUGUUUUUCUUGAGUGAAGUAGAGGUUGGCGGAAUUCCGAGUGUAGCGGUGAAAUGCGUAGAUAUUCGGAGGAACACCGGUGGCGAAGGCGGCCAACUGGGCUUUUACUGACGCUGAGGCUCGAAAGUGUGGGGAGCAAACAGGAUUAGAUACCCUGGUAGUCCACACUGUAAACGAUGAUUGCUAGGUGUGGGG